UACAGAGGGUGCGAGCGUUAAUCGGAAUUACUGGGCGUAAAGCGCGCGUAGGCGGCUUUGCAAGUCGGGUGUGAAAUCCCCAGGCUUAACCUGGGAACUGCAUUCGAGACUGCAUUGCUAGAGUAUGGGAGAGGGAAGUGGAAUUCCCGGUGUAGUGGUGAAAUGCGUAGAUAUCGGGAGGAACACCAGUGGCGAAGGCGAUCUUCUGGACGGAUACUGACGCUGAGGCGCGAAAGCUAGGGGAGCAAACGGG
rnacentral:rRNA from 1 species